rnacentral:rRNA from 1 species
GACGAACGCUGGCGGCGUGCCUAAUACAUGCAAGUCGAACGCACUCUCGUUUAGAUUGAAGGAGUUUGCUCCUGAUUGAUAAACAUUUGAGUGAGUGGCGGACGGGUGAGUAACACGUGGGUAACCUGCCCUAAAGUGGGGGAUAACAUUUGGAAACAGAUGCUAAUACCGCAUAAAACCUAACACCGCAUGGUGUAGGGUUGAAAGAUGGUUUCGGCUAUCACUUUAGGAUGGACCCGCGGUGCAUUAGUUAGUUGGUGAGGUAAAGGCUCACCAAGACCGUGAUGCAUAGCCGACCUGAGAGGGUAAUCGGCCACACUGGGACUGAGACACGGCCCAGACUCCUACGGGAGGCAGCAAUAGGGAAUCUUCCACAAUGGACGAAAGUCUGAUGGAGCAACGCCGCGUGAGUGAAGAAGGUUUUCGGAUCGUAAAACUCUGUUGUUGGAGAAGAAUGUAUCUGAUAGUAACUGAUCAGGUAGUGACGGUAUCCAACCAGAAAGCCACGGCUAACUACGUG